CCUACGGGAGGCAGCAGUGAGGAAUAUUGGUCAAUGGACGAGAGUCUGAACCAGCCAAGUAGCGUGAAGGAUGACUGCCCUAUGGGUUGUAAACUUCUUUUAUAUGGGAAUAAAACAGGGUAUGCAUACCCUCUUGUAUGUACCAUAUGAAUAAGGAUCGGCUAACUCCGUGCCAGCAGCCGCGGUAAUACGGAGGAUCCGAGCGUUAUCCGGAUUUAUUGGGUUUAAAGGGAGCGUAGGUGGAUUGUUAAGUCAGUUGUGAAAGUUUGCGGCUCAACCGUAAAAUUGCAGUUGAAACUGGCAGGCUUGAGUACAGGAGAGGUGGGCGGAAUUCGUGGUGUAGCGGUGAAAUGCUUAGAUAUCACGAAGAACUCCGAUUGCGAAGGCAGCUCACUGGACUGCAACUGACACUGAUGCUCGAAAGUGUGGGUAUCAAACAGGAUUAGAUACCCUUGUAGUC
rnacentral:rRNA from 1 species